rnacentral:lncRNA from 1 species
GAUUGAACCCAGGGGCAAUUAACCAUGAGCCACAUCUGUAGCCCUUUAUAUUUUGAGACACGGUCUUGCUAAGUUGCUCUGGGCCUCUCCAAGUUGCUGAGGCUGGCUUUGAACUUGUGAUCCUCCUGCCUCAGCCUCCUGAGCCGCUGGGAUUACAGUUGUAUGCCACCAUGCUCAGCCCUGUGUGGGUGCUUAUCCCUGAUGGCAAAAUCCUGAUGCUAGUGGCAGCCGGCUGGCUGGCUGCCCUGAGUUACAGUGCCAGCCUGGGCCAGCUCUAAGUGCAUUCUCUCAAUCUAGACGGUGUUCUGUGGUUGGUAUUAGCAACAUCACCCUGUUUUACAACUGUGCAAACUGGGGCGUGGAAAGGUUAA